CAGGUAGGGAUACCCGCUGAACUUAAGCAUAUCAAAAGCGGGGAAGAAAACUUACUGAAGUGCGGGGCUGCCUCCGGGCGCCCCACCUCCCCCGUGAAAUACUAACACUGUUUGCUUCGCGGGGGAAACCCUCGGGGCGAGCGCGGGACUACUGAAACUUCAGCUGAGAGUGAUGCAUCUGAGUCUGAAUAUAAAAUCAGUCAAAACUUUCACAAUGGAUCUCUGGGUUCCGCAUCGAUGAAAAA
rnacentral:rRNA from 1 species